GACGAACGCUGGCGGUGUGCUUCACACAUGCAAGUCGAACGGAGUAGCAAUACUCAGUGGCGGACGGGUGAGUAACACGUGGGAAUCUACCAUUAGGUGGGGAAUAACAGGCCGAAAGGACUGCUAAUGCCGCAUAUGUAGGCAUCUCGACAGAGAUGUUUAUGAAAGGAGUAAUCCGCCUUUUGAUGAGCCCGCGUCCGAUUAGCUAGUUGGUAGGGUAAAAGCCUACCAAGGCGACGAUCGGUAGGUGGUCUGAGAGGAUGAUCACCCACAAUGGGACUGAGACACGGCCCAUACUCCUACGGGAGGCAGCAGUGGGGAAUAUUGGACAAUGGGGGCAACCCUGAUCCAGCCAUGCCGCGUGAGUGAUGAAGGCCCUAGGGUUGUAAAGCUCUUUUGUGCGGGAAGAUAAUGACGGUACCGCAAGAAUAAGCCCCGGCUAACUUCGUGCCAGCAGCCGCGGUAAUACGAAGGGGGCUAGCGUUGCUCGGAAUCACUGGGCGUAAAGGGUGCGUAGGCGGGUCUUUAAGUCAGGGGUGAAAUCCUGGAGCUCAACUCCAGAACUGCCUUUGAUACUGAAGAUCUUGAGUCCGGGAGAGGUGAGUGGAACUGCGAGUGUAGCGGUGAAAUUCGUAUA
rnacentral:rRNA from 1 species